rnacentral:rRNA from 1 species
GUAGGGUCCAAGCGUUAUCCGGAAUCACUGGGCGUAAAGCGUGCGUAGGCGGUCUGUUAAGUGAGAUGUGAAAGCGUGUGGCUCAACCAUAUCGUUGUGUUUCAUACUGGCAGACUAGAGGGAAGCAGAGGCAAGUGGAAUUGGCAGUGUAGCAGUGAAAUGCGUAGAGAUUGCCAGGAACACCAAUGGCGAAGGCAGCUUGCUGGGCUUUUUCUGACGCUGAGGUACGAAAGCGUGGGGAGCGAACAGGAUUAGAUACCCUGGUAGUCCACGCCGUAAACGAUGCAUACUAGUCGUGUGGGGUAUCGACCCCCUGCGUGACGAAGCUAACGCGUUAAGUAUGCCGCCUGGGAAGUACGGCCGCAAGGCUAAA